rnacentral:sRNA from 10 species
CUCUAGCCCGGAUUGGAAUGACAUCCUUUUUUCAUUGCCAUGGGUUUUAACCCUCGGCAAUGAAAAAAGAUAUAAUGGAAAGCCGGACACAGC